AAGCCUGCGUGUUAUCUUCCCCCUUUUACUUCCUCCUCACGCUGGUGGCUUAUUAGUGAUCACACACAUGCUGUCCGCUUCACUCAAACACUCAUCGGCGCAUGACACAUACGUGCCACGGAGAGCACACGUCCCCAUGGAAGCGACACCAGGCCAACGCGAGGAGCCAUGCAGAUCCAACCACUGCAGAAGCGAGAAAGGUCUAUCCACUCAUCUACCAGUCUCUCUCUGAUCUAGACUCUUCUCUUAGAGUAUUUGACAGACUGUGGUUGACACUCGAUUUAAGGGGGUGUCAGUUUGUCAAAUACCCCAAGAGAGGGGGCACGAGUCUCCAGAGCUCAGCGACUCCACGUUUGACCUAAGCGAUCCUGUUACACUCAUGUUCAACCAUGUUUGCAGUACUUGUGUAAGUUUAGCUACUUCUGGUCAUGCAAAAUGUCUAAGAAAACAAAAAAAUCAAAUAAGCAGGACCACAGGAAGAGUUUUCCACAUAAUUUAUUCAUUUAUAAUGUGCAUUUUUGUUCAUUAGCUCUAUAUCACUGCAAUCUUUCUGGGUGGGUGAGUGGGUAGAUUAGAUGCAUAGAUUGAAAAACAAAGACGAGAAAGUUCCAUUAAUGUAGUGCUGUCUGUAUCAGGGAUCAUUAUGUUAUAAGUCACACUCUCAACAUAAUUCAGAUACCCAGCGUUCUGAGGACACUGGCAGCUGCUGAUGACAGUUGGAGUGCACAAUUCCUUCGCUACAAAAAAAAAGUUGUGAAAUGUGUGUGAGUCAUUGUUAGUAUGUGUUGUAAUGCGUGUGGGAGUGUGCUAUCUGUAUUUCUGUUAAUUAAAUCUAAUAUUUUGUUUAUCUUUAGUAACUAAAUUCAGUGUACUGUGGUUGUUUGGGAAGUGAAACAUGAAAUAAUAAUUUCUCCUUUUA